rnacentral:rRNA from 1 species
CUACGGGUGGCUGCAGUGAGGAAUAUUGCACAAUGGGGGGAACCCUGAUGCAGCAACGCCGCGUGGAGGAUGACGCAUUUCGGUGUGUAAACUCCUUUUAUAUGUCAAGAAAAUGACGGUAGCAUAUGAAUAAGCACCGGCUAACUCCGUGCCAGCAGCCGCGGUAAUAGGAGGGUGCAAGCGUUACUCGGAAUCACUGGGCGUAAAGGACGCGUAGGCGGGUUGGAAAGUCAGGUGUGAAAUCCUACAGCUUAACUGUAGAACUGCACUUGAAACUUCUAAUCUAGAGUAUGGGAGGGGGAGAUGGAAUUAGUGGUGUAGGGGUAAAAUCCGUAGAUAUCACUAGGAAUACCUAAAGCGAAGGCGAUCUCCUGGAACAUUACCGACGCUAAGGCGUGAAAGCGUGGGGAGCAAACAGGAUUAGAUACCCGGGUAGUC